ACGAAUACUUCAUGGCUGGAAGAAUAAUUGCUGUAUCACUGGUACAUGGAGGAGGGCCCUCACCAAGUUUUUUGUCUGCAAAUCUCAUGAGACACAUCUUGGGCAUUGAUGAUAUCCACGCUACCCUAGAAGACAUAGAUGACCAUGAGAUCAAGGGCAUCCUUUUUAAUGUACGCAAUUCCAAAUCUCUUGAUGAACUCCUUACAAUACUUGAAAAACAAACACUUGUUUUUCAUCUGGCUGGCUGCAAGACAGUCAUUAAAGAAUUGGACGACAAGGAGAAACUAGUUGAAGACUUUCUUAAGUGGUAUAUAAUAAAAAGAAAUGCAUUUGGCAUCGAGCGGAAAUUUGUCGCCGGAAGGACCAUCACUGCGUGAUAUUCUCCAGUUUGCUACCGGCCUGUCCUCCAUUCCACCUUCUGGUUUCCAUCCGCGUCCAUCAGUACAGUUUCUUCAUAAUGGGUCACCAUAUCCCAUUGCUAACACUUGUGGCAAUAUUAUUCACCUACCAAUUACUACAGAUUACUAUACUUUUCAGAAGAACAUGGACUUUGGAAUAUUAAAUUCCCCAGGGUUUGGCAGAGUCUAGAAUUAUUAUAAAAGGGUCAUUCCACGCCAACUCAACCAGAAGAAGGACAUUUCGUUGCCCAUCUGUCUCAGAUUUUCGUUGAAAAAAUCACCUGUGUGUUUUCUGACAAGCUGAGUUCAGAAAUGAUCUUUUUUUUAAUUUCCCCUUCGACCUGUGAUCUUAUAAAAGGUCAACCUAAAGUGAGAAAGGGCUUUUGAGAAAAAAAUCCUAGGAGCACCCUACUCAUUCUGUCAAAUUGCCAGACGAGGGGUAACUGACAAGUUUUAUUCGAACUUCAGCCUAACCCUUUACCCUGUAGAGGAUGUGAGUCCUAAAAUGUAAGUAUGCUGCAAGACCCUUAGGUCCAGUCCUCCAAAUUCUGUGAAAAUCUUUUGGUUUCAAGUCCCACCACUGGUCAUUAAACCCCCUUGAAAUUUGAAUGUUUGCUAUGUGUACCAAGUUUAGGCCGUAAUAACUUGCGUGGGGAACUCCAAAAAAUCACUCAAAGAUAUGUUUGGAUAGAUAUUAAUGAGAUCUACAAGCAUCAAGCAAAAUAUUUUGGUAUCCGGGGAGCUGAGGGGUUAUGAACUUGCAUACUGGACUUCGUUGUUACAAUGACACAUUUGAAACUACCAAAACCUUACUUAGGUGGAUUUAAAAAACUAAAUUAACUAUUUUUCUUUUAUAACACAUUUUAAAAAAAUCUUCCCUGUUUACAGCACCUUUAAAAUACGCCUGUCUGUCAUCGAAGACCUCUUAAACCAAAGACUUUCAGUUGUGCCUGAAAUUGACUGAUUGGCUAGCAUGAGAAUGCAGCAAAUGGCUUUUUCACAAAUGGUUGGUCAGUCAAUCAAUUCCCCCUAGGUAGGCACCAC